rnacentral:rRNA from 1 species
GAUGAACGCUGGCGGCGUGCCUAAUACAUGCAAGUCGAGCGAACGGACGAGAAGCUUGCUUCUCUGAUGUUAGCGGCGGACGGGUGAGUAACACGUGGAUAACCUACCUAUAAGACUGGGAUAACUUCGGGAAACCGGAGCUAAUACCGGAUGAUAUUUUGAACCGCAUGGUUCAAAAGUUAAAGACGGUCUUGCUGUCACUUAUAGAUGGAUCCGCGAUGCAUUAGCUAGUUGGUAAGGUAACGGCUUACCAAGGCAACGAUGCAUAGCCGACCUGAGAGGGUGAUCGGCCACACUGGAACUGAGACACGGUCCAGACUCCUACGGGAGGCAGCAGUAGGGAAUAUUCCGCAAUGGGCGAAAGCCUGACGGAGCAACGCCGCGUGAGUGAUGAAGGUCUUCGGAUCGUAAAACUCUGUUAUUAGGGAAGAACAUAUGUGUAAGUAACUGUGCACAUCUUGACGGUACCUAAUCAGAAAGCCACGGCUAACUACGUG